rnacentral:rRNA from 1 species
AGAGCGAACGCUGGCGGCAGGCCUAAUACAUGCAAGUCGAACGGACCCUUCGGGGUUAGUGGCGGACGGGUGAGUAACACGUGGGAACGUGCCCUUUGGUUCGGAACAACUCAGGGAAACUUGAGCUAAUACCGAAUGUGCCCCCAUCCUUAAACAAGAUGGGUGGGAAAGAUUUAUCGCCAUUGGAGCGGCCCGCGUCUGAUUAGCUAGUUGGUGGGGUAAAGGCUCACCAAGGCGACGAUCAGUAGCUGGUCUGAGAGGAUGAUCAGCCACACUGGGACUGAGACACGGCCCAGACUCCUACGGGAGGCAGCAGUAGGGAAUCUUGCGCAAUGGGCGAAAGCCUGACGCAGCCAUGCCGCGUGAAUGAUGAAGGUCUUAGGAUUGUAAAAUUCUUUCAGCGGGGACGAUAAUGACGGUACCCGCAGAAGAACGCCCCGGCUAACUUCGUGCCAGCAGCCGC